UACAGAGGUCUCAAGCGUUGUUCGGAUUCAUUGGGCGUAAAGGGUGUGUAGGUGGCGCCGUAAGUCGGGUGUGAAAUUUCGAGGCUUAACCUCGAAACUGCAUUCGAUACUGCGGUGCUUGAGGACUGGAGAGGAGACUGGAAUUCAUGGUGUAGCGGUGAAAUGCGUAGAGAUCAUGAGGAAGACCAGUGGCGAAGGCGGGUCUCUGGACAGUUACUGACGCUGAGGCACGAAGGCGAGGGGAGCAAACAGG
rnacentral:rRNA from 1 species